rfam:Schistosoma rodhaini strain Burundi genome assembly, scaffold: SROB_contig0000947
AUUCAGUUGACGAGUUCUAAAUGGGACGAAACGCACGUCUUAGAU